CCUACGGGAGGCUGCAGUGGGGAAUAUUGCGCAAUGGGCGAAAGCCUGACGCAGCGACGCCGCGUGAGGGAUGAAGGUUCUCGGAUCGUAAACCUCUGUCAGAAGGGAAGAAAUUAUAUCAUGCUAAUCAGUGGUGUAUUGACGGUACCUUCCAAGGAAGCACCGGCAAACUCCGUGCCAGCACCCGCGGUAAUACGGGGGGUAGGAGCGUUAAUCGGAAUUACUGGGCGUAAAGCGCACGUAGGGUGUAUGAAGAGUCAAGGGUGAAAUGGCGGGGCUCAACCGUGGAAGUACCUUUGAAACUGUGAAACUGGAGUAUGUGAGAGGGCGGGGGAAUUCCGGGUGUAGGAGUGAAAUCCGUAGAUAACAGGGGGAACAACAGUGGCGAAGGCGGCA
rnacentral:rRNA from 1 species